UGCGUAGGCGGAUGCGCAAGUGCCUCGUGAAAUCCCCCGCCUCAAUCGGGGAACUGCGGGGCAGACUGCGUGUCUUGAGGCAAGUAGAGGUCGCCGGAACGCUAGGUGGAGCGGUGAAAUGCGUAGAUAUCUAGCGGAACGCCCGAGGUGAAGACGGGCGACUGGGCUUGUCCUGACGCUGAGGCACGAAAGCGUGGGAGCAAACA
rnacentral:rRNA from 1 species